rnacentral:rRNA from 1 species
GACGAACGCUGGCGGCGUGCUUGACACAUGCAAGUCGAACGGAAAGGCCUGCUUUCCCUUGUGGAUUGCGGGUACUCGAGUGGCGAACGGGUGAGUAACACGUGAGUGAUCUGCCCCCAACUUGGGUAUAAGCCUGGGAAACUGGGUCUAAUUCCCGAUAGGACUGCAGGGUGGUGCCUGUGGUGGAAAACGAUUUUCUAGUGGUUGGGGAUGAGCUCGCGGCCUAUCAGCUUGUUGGUGGGGUAAUGGCCUACCAAGGCGGCGACGGGUAGCCGGCCUGGGAGGGUGGACGGCAACAGUGGGACUGAGAUACGGCCCAGACUACUACGGGAGGCAGCAGUGGGGAAUAGUGCACAAUGGGCGGAAGCCUGAUGCAGCGACGCCGCGUGGGGGAUGACGGCCUUCGGGUUGUAAACUCCUUGCGACCGCGAGGAAGCCACCUGGUUGGAAGGGUGGUGACGGUAGUGGUAGAAGAAGCACCGGCUAACUACGUG